rnacentral:rRNA from 1 species
AUGGUGUUCAUGAAACCUAGAGAAUUUGGCGGUGUCUUAGUCUUUUUAGAGGAACCUGUCCUAUAAUCGAUAGUCCACGUUGUUAUUACCUAAUUUGGUUAAUAGUUUGUAUAUCGCCGUCAGAAGGAAAUUUCUUGAGAGUGAUAAUUUUUUUGAUGCCGAGAGGCAGGAUGACAGGUCAAGGUGCAGCUAAUGAAUAGGGAGGAGAUGGGUUACAAUGUAGUGUCAUACAAAUGAAUUCUUUGUGUAAGGGGAGGAUGAAGGUGGAUUUGAGAGUA